UCCAUGGGGUCACAAAGAGUUGGAUGCGGCUUAGUGACUAAACAACAACAGCAACAACAAAACCAAAAUUGCCCCAGCUCCUCUGACGCAAGAAUAGCCCUGUAGACAUUUCCUGUAAGCACUCGAGUUAGUUGCCUUUGCGGUCCUGUGCACUCUGUACACUAACACUUAAUUCUAGGAGGUGGGUGCUGUCCUUAGCUCUGUUUUACACAGCCUGUCCCAGAGACCCUGAGAUGUUAAAGAUCAGGUUCAAGAUAGGAUUCGAACCUGGUGAUGCACUUGGCUCUUAGGCUGCACUGUUUCUCCAUAGCGGCUGGUUGUGUGUGUGUGUCUGUGUGUGUGAACCUCCACCCUACUGACAUUUUGGGUCGAGACCAGGUAUCUCUUGGCUGUAGGGGCUGUCCUGUGCCUUAUAAAAUCUUAGCCACAUCUCUCGACUCCACCCACUUGAUGCCAGCAGAUCCCUCAAACUAUGAUAUUCAAGAAUGUCUCCAGACAUUGCCAAGGGUGUCCCCUGGGGAGAAGAGUCACCUCCAGUUGAGUCCCUUUGUGUGUGUGUAUGUGUGUGUGUGAAACCAGGUGACUUUAUAUUCAGUUUGAUAUCUGCUUGAAUGGCUACCCACUCCAGUACCCUUGCUUGGAAAAUUCCACGGACGUGGGAGCCUGGUGGGCUACAGUCCGUAGGGUCACAGAGUCAGACACAACUGAGCGACUUAACACUUUCACUUUUUCACUUUUCCUGGUUAUCUGUACUCCAUGAUCACUCUAGUUUCCUUUCAUUUUCUUCUCAUGUCCUGUUGCCAGGAGUUGCCAAUCCAAUAAACGGGUGGUUGACAAAAAAAAAAAAUCCGUUGCAGUAGUCAUCUUCUGUUGCCGCACAGCAAAUAACCACAAACUAAGUGGCUUAAAACAGUAGUCACUUAUUAGCUCAUGGGUCUGUAGGUCAGAAGUCCAGUCUCGAAUGCUGACGUCAGGUGUUGGUCGGGCUGAAUUCUCUGGGAGCUCUCGGAGGCAUCCACUUCCAUGCCUGUUCUUGUCUGCUGGCAAGGAUGGUCAGGAGCCUGUCCUUGCGGCUCCAGAGUUGUUUUUAGGAGCCAUAUGGACACUGCUCUAGACCAGGCCAUCAUGGGGCUGAGCAGACUGGUUGGAGGGACUGGGUUUUCCCAGCAUACAAGGCUCUAGGGAGACGUGAAAAUCAUGACAGGUCAGUGUCAGAGCUACUGGGACAAGCUCGGGCACCCUCAUUCAGGCCAUUAGACAACCACCUCUUUCAGGAUCCUCCGCCUCAGGCCCUUCCCUGGAACACCCCAGAAGUCGCAUCUCCGGGGCGGACCCCUCAAAGUACUAUGAAGGAAGCAAGUCCUUUUGGCUUCUAAGGCUGGCCCCGGAAGUCUGGACGGGUGACAGCCCUGCCUAGGAGUCUCAAUAUCCUCUUUUGAGGAGAAAGCCAGAGUCUCAUGGUUUCUGUGUUUUACUGUGAUUGAUGAAAAGAAUGCUAAUGAAGUCCCAAAUAAAAGCAGUUA